rnacentral:lncRNA from 13 species
AAGAGCGAGAGAGCCGGAGCGUUUGCGUGGGGAACGAUCGCAGCUCGUCAUUCGAAGCCCGCCAACGGACGAGCGAGCAGCCACGGAACGGGACCGCGAUUGAAAGAACCCACGCAAUUUUCGCGAUAAAAGAGAAAGGGAGAUAUAUUAAAAAAAGAGGGAGAAAGAGAGAGAGAGAGAGAGAGAAAAUCAAGGAGAGUAGCACGCGUCGCGCGCGAUCGGGAUAGCAAGUGAGAGCGCAGAGGGUGAUCGUACGGAAAAGAGAAAAAAGUCGCAGAUAUCGCUUUGCUCGCCGAUCCUCUUCGAGAGCGGAGAUUCCACCACGGGGUUGCGGAUUCGCUCGUCGCGAUACUCGCUCGCUCGCUCGCUCGCUCGGUUCUCGCGUCCGGUUGAGUUUCGCUCGCGUUGCGAUUGGCCGCGGUGUCCGCCGGUGGAAGUUUUCGACAGUAGAAAGGGAAAGAAAGCGAAAGAGUGUGCGUGUGUGUGUGCGUGAGAGAAGGGGAGAGAGAGAGAGAGAGAGAGAGGGGGAGAGAAGGCGAAAUAGUGAGAAGCGUACUGACCGACAAAGUGAAGAGAAGAUCGAAAAGGGCGCGAGAGGUUAAGGGAGUGCCGAUAAAUUAAGUGGUGGAAGAGCCGAAAGCGAAGUUGUUGACAGUGACGAAAAGUGACAUCGCUACACCGCGCAUUUCGCUCCAGGAUAUCGUUGCUCCGAUAAUUGGUUCCCGGAAAAGAAGGAGCUUACGACGGCGCCAAGGUGACGCGUGGAAGAAAAACAGCCGGAGAAAGUGAUCUCGUGAUUUGUUUAUCUUUUGGUUUUGGUGCGCUCUGUGCCUCGGUGAGCUCUGUGUGCGCGAGGAUUUCGGGAAGAAGGUCGAUCGUAUUCGCGUCGAGGGAAGUUGGUUCUUAACGUACACUCCCACGGAGAGCAAGGGGUGCGAUUCCGCGAAUGUCCUUCGUCGAUAGUAUAAACAAGCUCGGUGCAUAUUUUCCUAUAGAAGGAUACACGCGAGUGAGACCCCCGUGCGACACUCGCCUAUCGUCAUUGGUCGUCAUUGGUCCCGCGACCGCACGCGACCAAUAGAAAAGUUUGUAGUUUCGACCGCGAGUCGAAUACGCGUGGAGUCGCGAGAGCCCAUUAGCGGCUAACGUCCGACUAGUCUCAGUUUUCCAACGGACCGCGACGCACGUCUAUCGCGAAGUGAGAAUCGUCUCGCGUGGCUCGUGCCUCCGAUUCCGCAGCAGGCUAAUAAACAUCGGCGCGGGUUUCCCUUCGAAGAAACGAUCGUGGGACAACUAAAUUGAGUGACAAUCGAAACGCGAGAGGGAGAGAAAACGGACGACACGUCGAACAUCUCGUGCGGAGCAAAGUGACAACCAACGUCGGAGUGAAUACAGCCGCAAGGUCGUUCGCGAGUGCUGAUCAGUGCUGACACUCCACAAUACUGCGUGACCCACUCUCGCGCGCGUACGUUCGGUGUUUCUUCUCGCGUAGUGAGAACGGAAGAGAAACGAAACAGACGAAGAGUGAGCGAAAGUGCACGUCGUACGUCGUCGUGCCGUCUCGUGGUUACCGUUGUCGCGUCGCGAUUCCUAGAAUCUCGUCGUCUUUCACGCCGUUUCUCCGCCCCGUCCGUUUCGCGAGCGUGUACGACGUCGUCGUGACGCCGUCGUGAGCCGUGAUUAUCCCGCGCGACACGCUCCACGCUCGUUCGACGUGCGACGACCCCCCGCGGUCGAGCCGUCACCGCCGCGAGAGUAGCACUCGGUGCACCUGUGUCCGUUACUCGCGAGCCGAGACGUGCUCCGCGCGCGACAGCACCGCCGCGCUAUUAUCCGUGAGCACCGGCGAUUAUCGGCGCAUCGCGCUCCACCGAUCUUGGUGCACGCUCGCCCACGUCCGAUCCUUCCUCCGAUUUACUUCGGAUUACGCGUCGCGCCAGCGCCAGCGCCAGCGCCAGCGGUACGCUCCGUACGCUCGUGCAGCCGUUUCGGGAAGGAUAAAGCCCCCGGACGGUGCUCACGUGACGAAAGUGCAGACGCUGCCUUCUCGGUCACUUGGAACAAGUGACCGACAGGACAUACCUUUUUCUCCUGGAAGUGUUACGCAAACGGCCUCAAGAUUCAGCUCGACGUCAUGCCGUGGUUCAUUCUAUUUCUCCUGCUGCUUGCCGUGAUGGAGGCCUUCCCUCGGGAGGCCACCUGUUCCCGCCUGCCGGACAUCUACUGGAACUCCACCAAUCCAAUGUAAGUCAGCACUAUGCUCUUGCCUUUUCCUCUCUGGCGUCUCUCCCCGCGCGCACGCGCGCGCGCGCGCCGCAUCUCUUCCGUGUAAUUAUCUUUUAUCACCCGCCGGACACUCUGCGGCUCCGCGUCUCUCGCGCGCCAACUCGGACGGUUUUAGAAAUGCCGCGAAGCAUGCUAACUUUACGAGCGGGGCUCGUGUAUGUCCAACCGCCCGUCUUCGUGGGCGGAUACUCUGGACGCGAGCUUCUCUUCUUCUUUGUUCCGUCGUAAGAACCGGUGGGACGCGCGGUAAGGUUGCUCUUUAAAUAUGUACAUGAGAAUUGCAACGGCGUUGCAGCAGCGGUGCACGAGAGCCGAAAGCUAGAGCCGCGCUACCAGAUAGUAUCGUAACGUUUCUACGAAGCACCCUUACCCGAUGACCGUUGCAUCGCCGUGCAAUUGCACAGGGAGAGACUGCCGGGAGACAUAAACAAUGACAUAAAAGAGAACUUAAUACCCGGAAAUCGGCGUAGCGGCGGUGUAUGUUCUUUCGAGCAUUCCGGGCAUAUUGACCGCCGGGGUUUCUCUGUCGCGCGAUAUUCCCGGCGCUAUGCAUUUUGGAUGCGCGCAGAUUUGCGCGGCAGCCAACAAAUCUCGGGCGGUUUUUUCUCCGACGUAACCGAAAAUAGUUUUUUCGCGCGUUAAUCGAGAGUGCCGUGUUAUCACAGAGAUUAUGAAUAUGCAUAGGCGUCCCCAUGAAAAUGACGCUAAAACUCCGGUGCACGAUAAUUAGAGAGUUUUCGAGUAAACGCAGGGGUAGGUACAUAUCGCGAUUUCACGGUCCGAGUACGCGAAAAUACCAUGCGCGGUUACGUUUAUCGCGGCCGUCGCGUUUCGUUAGUGAGGGCGUAUUUUCGUUCUGAAAACGUUAUCCUCAAAGAAUGCAAGCUCCGUUUAAUCUCAUCCCGAGAUAUUACCGUGAAUGUCCUUGUUCCGGGUGGGAGACGACCACGUUUCCACGUUGAAACAUUCCACGGAUAGUAACGUCUACUUGCGCACGAAGAUCGAGUUUCAUGGUUUGCGGGUGCAUUGCACAACCGUUUUUACAGUUCGUUCUUUGGCGAUGUUCUGCCCGCCUACUCGGCUUUAAUUCGGCGCGCAUUAGGUUCACUUACCAAGGAGUCAGCACUAAACGAGACGAAUCAUCUCUAAAUUAUUUGCUGUAGACAGACUAAUUGAUAAUUCAAUUUUAUGAGCUUCGUAUGAUGUUACACAUCGUUGAAAGUUACCUACCAUAUUUCUUAUCCAAGUUAUUUCGUGUAGGUCGACAACAUUGGUCGAAGCUUUUUAUAUUCACGGUUAUAGUAGUGACACUAGUGGCUAUAUAUAUCCGAUCAAUGUAACCCGUUUUACUGUCACCAUAUUACAGCUAUUUUUAUUUGCUCAUAGCUCACAUGUAUAUUAAUAUUUUGCGCUAUCAAAUGCAGUUAUUUAUAUCUACAGUAUGUAUAUCUUAGAUGUACAAUAAAUAACUAUAUUAUGAAUAUACAUAUAUAUCUGGUACAGAUAUGAAUAAUUUACAACUUUAUUGGUAGAGGAAAAAGAUAUUUACUAUUAUUCUGUCGUGCAUUAAGACUCUAUAGCUCGAAGUGAAAAUGGUUUCUAGUCGGCGAAAUAAAAUAUUCUAUUAGAAUAUUGGACGUCCAUCCGAUAUGACCAUGUUCUCUCGCUUUCUGUAUUUAUUACCGUGGGAAGUUAUUGUAUUCAAAUAUUGAUUUUACUUUUUGAUGAAGUAUAUCCUUAUAUUUGAGGAAUUUUUUUUCCAUGACAAAGAGACGGAGAUUAAUAACGUAACUUUCAUUUUACGCGCUUACGGUCCUUUAUGCUUUAAGAGUAAUUCUUACGCUGGCGACAGUAUAUUAUUUUGCCGGUAAUAUUAACUCAAAGGAUAAACGCACAUAUUUCGUCUCGCAAAGCGAAUCUUAGAGGCAACUAAAGAAUAUACAUAAGGAGCAUAUCCUGUUCAGAGGACAAGCUCGAAUUCAGUAGCGCAGUGCUUGUUCUCGUAAAGAGGCUAUUUCGAGCGUAGAGUCAAUUGUAUCGAAUAACGCGAUUUUCUAACAACACAAAGUCUCUCGUUUAGAUGAGACUCCGGGGUUUAUAUUUUAUUUUGUCUCGCUGUUACUUUGAUAAUCAUUCGUUUCGCGGACUACUACUGUAUGUUUAAAUAUGAUUUAUUACUAAAAUAGAUUCUCUUCAAAAUUCUCAAAUGGGACUUAAUUAAGCUUCAUAUUAAAAAAAAAAAA